rnacentral:tRNA from 1 species
CCUCUCAUGGCGUAGUGGUUAACGCGCCCCAACUAGAGAUCGGGGAGUCGUGAGUUCGAUCUCACUGAGAAGA